CAAUGAUGAUUUCUAGAUGACGAGUCUUAUUCGAGUUUUCGAUGCAGACAACAUCCUUUUUUUUAACCAUUCAUGCUUUCCUGACA
rnacentral:snoRNA from 1 species